rnacentral:rRNA from 1 species
UACGAAGGGGGCUAGCGUUGUUCGGAAUUACUGGGCGUAAAGGGCGCGUAGGCUGUGCUGUAAGUCAGGCGUGAAAGCCCCGGGCUCAACCUGGGAACUGCGCUUGAUACUGCGGCGCUGGAAGGUGGGAGAGGAUGGCGGAAUUCCCAGUGUAGAGGUGAAAUUCGUAGAUAUUGGGAAGAACACCGGUGGCGAAGGCGGCCAUCUGGCCCACAAUUGACGCUGAGGCGCGAAAGCGUGGGGAGCAAACAGG